UCAGCAGCCAUCAUUAUUUUUAAACCUGUUUUGAAAACCUUACAAUGAUAUUACACCAUGGAGACACACGAGGGCGCGCCAGGCAUCUAUUUAAAAUGUGUUUUCAUAGCUUUUCUUGAAGGAUGUAAUUUUGAGUGUGUACAGGAAACGGGGGGCCGCAGGGGAGUCUUAAGGGUCCCCUGUGAGUGACAAGGGCAAGUCUUAUUUCCAGCUUGGUCCAGUCUGCCAGCCUUGUCAAUGAAAUACCAGGAUUCCCUUCCUGAAUGCUCCAUAGUGGAAUCAGGGAUGUCAUAUAAAAGACACAUCGCUUGCAGCCUGUGGGGGCGGGUUUCCUUCUUGCAGCAGAAUGCUUCUGAGAUUCAUCCGUGUUGUCCGUCGGUAGAUGGUCUGCUCCUUUUGAUUGCUGACUCGUACGUAAUUUAUCCUAUGAAUGAAUGAGCCACCGUUUGAUCCAUUCCCCAGGUUACACACCAGGAGUGGGACUGCAGGAUCGUACGAGUGUGUGUUUAACAUCAUGGGAAACUGCCAUGCCGUUUUUCAGAGCGGCUGCACCAUUUCACAUUCCCACUAGUGACGUAGGAGCCUGAUAGCUGCUCUGCAUUCCCACAUCUGCUUUUUCUCAUCAUUGAAUUUCUACCAUCAAGCAUAGAACAUGGCACUGGUAAGUGCUCAACAAAUAUGCACAUAGUAAGUACACAGAAAUAUGCGUACCUACUAUGUGCACAUAAACGGAUAGUAGAGGCUAUCACAGAGUGGGAUCAGGAGGAUGAAGUAGGGUAAAGUGUACAGAGUGCUUGGCACAGUGCCUGGCCCUUAGUCCCUGAGGAUCUUUGCUGGCAGCAGAGGCCACUCUCCCCAGGGGAGGGCCACAGGGCAGGGGCCUUAGUUCCAGCCACAGAGAGACUGCCUAGCAGAACCCUCCUCUAUGUUAAUCUCUGGCUCCCUGAGUUCUAGGCUUUGGGGAUAGGAAGAUCUUCUCUCCCCAGGAACUGAGGAGGUAAGAAUCCACCCCCGUCCCAGCCCCAGCAAGACCCCCAGGGCCGCAAGCACUUCCUGAGCUUCUCUGUGCCCCCCUCCAGCCAGCCUAGAAGAAAACCGGGAGACCUGGCUCCGGCUGUGUUUUCCUUGCCUCCGCACUCUCGAAUGGGAGGCCCACAGGCCAAGGAAUGGAGUAAGUCUGUUUUCCUAGCUGGCCUUGUCCCCUCAAGGGGACACCAGUGCCUCCACGUUGCUGAGGUUUCUCCCACUUUAGCCAAGCUCUCUGCCUGCCCUUGUCCACCCCCACUGGGGGCCUGUUUGCCAGAAUCUUUCAGCACCUCUUCUCUUUCACAAUCAAUCUGACCCUUUUUGCUAUUGUUUUUGUAGGUUAAUUGAAUACGUUCUCCUCUCGGUGGAGACAGCAGGCAGGGCCAAGCACAACAGGCCCAGUGCGAAGGGGGCUUGGGAGGCCCAUCCCACCUCGGCAGCCUGGGGCCUGCUCAGGCAAGGGCAGGGGGACACUGAUGGGGCCAGGAUGUAAUUGACCUCGCCUGCAGGCAGCAGCUCGCUGGGGUGGGAGACGCGGGGGAGGAGAGCACCAGGCCACCCUUUCAAUCCCUGCUCUUCCUUCCUCCUUUUUUUUUUCAGAGCAGAUUAUCCCUAAAUUCUUCAGUUGGUAUUUUCUGAGCACCUUCUAACAGCAGAAAACUGUAGCACGCCUCGAGGUGUGAUGAUGGAAACCAGGCUGGCCGUGGUCUCACCCACGGGCGAGUUUGUGCCCAAGGGGACACUUAGCAAUGUCUGGAGACAGUUUUGGCUGGUGGCGCUGAGCAGGGGGGUGCUGCUGGCACCCCUAGUGGGUAGCGGCCAGGG
ensembl:lncRNA